CCUAUGGGUGGCAGCAGUGGGGAAUAUUGCACAAUGGGGGAAACCCUGAUGCAGCGACGCCGCGUGAAGGAAGAAGGCUUUCGGGUUGUAAACUUCUUUUAAGAGGGAAGAGCAGAAGACGGUACCUCUUGAAUAAGCCACGGCUAACUACGUGCCAGCAGCCGCGGUAAUACGUAGGGGGCAAGCGUUAUCCGGAUUUACUGGGUGUAAAGGGAGCGUAGACGGCAAGGCAAGUCUGGAGUGAAAGCCCGUGGCUCAACCACGGGACUGCUUUGGAAACUGUGUUGCUGGAGUGCAGGAGGGGUAAGCGGAAUUCCUAGUGUAGCGGUGAAAUGCGUAGAUAUUGGGAGGAACACCGGUGGCGAAGGCGGCUUACUGGACUGUAACUGACGUUGAGGCUCGAAGGCGUGGGGAGCAAACAGGAUUAGAUACCCCUGUAGUC
rnacentral:rRNA from 1 species